GGAUGGGCCCGCGGCGCAUUAGCUAGUUGGUGGGGUAAAGGCUUACCAAGGCAAUGAUGCGUAGCCGAACUGAGAGGUUGAUCGGCCACAUUGGGACUGAGACACGGCCCAAACUCCUACGGGAGGCAGCAGUAGGGAAUCUUCCACAAUGGGCGAAAGCCUGAUGGAGCAACGCCGCGUGGGUGAAGAAGGUCUUCGGAUCGUAAAACCCUGUUGUUAGAGAAGAAAGUGCGUGAGAGUAACUGUUCACGUUUCGACGGUAUCUAACCAGAAAGCCACGGCUAACUACGUGCCAGCAGCCGCGGUAAUACGUAGGUGGCAAGCGUUAUCCGGAUUUAUUGGGCGUAAAGGGAACGCAGGCGGUCUUUUAAGUCUGAUGUGAAAGCCUUCGGCUUAACCGGAGUAGUGCAUUGGAAACUGGGAGACUUGAGUGCAGAAGAGGAGAGUGGAACUCCAUGUGUAGCGGUGAAAUGCGUAGAUAUAUGGAAGAACACCAGUGGCGAAAGCGGCUCUCUGGUCUGUAACUGACGCUGAGGUUCGAAAGCGUGGGUAGCAAACAGGAUUAGAUACCCUGGUAGUCCACGCCGUAAACGAUGAAUGCUAAGUGUUGGAGGGUUUCCGCCCUUCAGUGCU
rnacentral:rRNA from 1 species